UGUGCAGGCGGUUUCGAAAGUCCGAUGUGAAAUCCCCGGGCUUAACCUGGGAACUGCGUUGGAAACUACGAAACUAGAGUGCGGCAGAGGGGGGUGGAAUUCCAGGUGUAGCAGUGAAAUGCGUAGAUAUCUGGAGGAACACCGAUGGCGAAGGCAGCCCCCUGGGCUAGCACUGACGCUCAUACACGAAAGCGUGGGGAGCAAACA
rnacentral:rRNA from 1 species